rnacentral:rRNA from 1 species
UGGGGAAUAUUGCACAAUGGGCGCAAGCCUGAUGCAGCAACGCCGCGUGAGGGAUGACGGCCUUCGGGUUGUAAACCUCUUUUAGUAGGGAAGAAGCGAAAGUGACGGUACCUGCAGAAAAAAGCACCGGCUAACUACGUGCCAGCAGCCGCGGUAAUACGUAGGGUGCGAGCGUUGUCCGGAAUUAUUGGGCGUAAAGAGCUCGUAGGCGGUCUGUCGCGUCUGCUGUGAAAACCCGAGGCUCAACCUCGGGCCUGCAGUGGGUACGGGCAGACUAGAGUGCGGUAGGGGAGAAUGGAAUUCCUGGUGUAGCGGUGGAAUGCGCAGAUAUCAGGAGGAACACCGAUGGCGAAGGCAGUUCUCUGGGCCGUAACUGACGCUGAGGAGCGAAAGCGUGGGGAGCGAACAGGAUUGGAUACCCUGGUAGUCCACGCCGUAAACGUUGGGCGCUAGAUGUGGGGGACCAUUCCACGGUUUCCGUGUCGCAGCUAACGCAUUAA